rnacentral:rRNA from 1 species
UGAUUAACUGGACGUUACCCACAGAAGAAGCACCGGCUAACUCCGUGCCAGCAGCCGCGGUAAUACGGAGGGUGCGAGCGUUAAUCGGAAUUACUGGGCGUAAAGGGUGCGUAGGUGGUUGAUUAAGUUAUCUGUGAAAUUCCUGGGCUUAACCUGGGACGGUCAGAUAAUACUGGUUGACUCGAGUAUGGGAGAGGGUAGUGGAAUUUCCGGUGUAGCGGUGAAAUGCGUAGAGAUCGGAAGGAACACCAGUGGCGAAGGCGGCUACCGGCCUAAUACUGACACUGAGGCACGAAAGCGUGGGGAGCAAACAGGAUUAGAUACCCGG